UACGGAGGGUGCAAGCGUUAUCCGGAUUCACUGGGUUUAAAGGGUGCGUAGGAGGGCAGGUAAGUCAGUGGUGAAAUCUCCAAGCUUAACUUGGAAACUGCCGUUGAUACUAUCUGUCUUGAAUAUUGUGGAGGUGAGCGGAAUAUGUCAUGUAGCGGUGAAAUGCUUAGAUAUGACAUAGAACACCAAUGGCGAAGGCAGCUCGCUGGGACGGUACUGACGCUGAGACGCGAAAGCGUGGGGAGCAAACAGG
rnacentral:rRNA from 1 species